rnacentral:lncRNA from 1 species
CAUCCAAACGAUUUCUAAGAGUCUCUCGGAUGGUUAGUGGCAAUUUGACAAAGAGCGUAAGAUUCUCUCGAUAAAAUUUUCCUUUCAGACUCUUCUGAGCCCGUUUUCUCAAAACUUCAUUUUUGCACUUACUGCUCAUUCGCGAUCAUGGCAGUGAUGAUGACAGUAGCCGCAAAUCGUAUUUUUUCAGCCUACUAGUUAUUCAACGAACCCACCUGUAAAAACUGGCAUUGGUCUGUUUGCGCAAUAUCACUUCAUGGAAAUGCGCAUGAUAUUCCUGCACACACUUUAUAAAUAUGUGCUAACAAUAAGUAUACAUAUGUCAUAGUACAUGUCGGUACAGUAUUUUUUGCGAUCGUCAUUCUAAAGAGCUUUGAAGUUUUUAGUUUGGGAGUAUACGUGAUUGAAGCUAGUGGUGGCUGACAUUGUUCCAUUGGAAAGCCGCCGUGGCUUUCAGUCAUUGUGGUGAAAUUUGGUGCCGAACAUUUAUCAUGUUGGGCGUUUUGAAGAGAUUACUCUUAUUUUAUUCGGUGGCUCUCAUAUUUUCAGCAUAUUUUGCCGCAGGUAUGCAACCGAACCAGCAACCUAAUGUUCCUCAACUGAAUGCUGCUGGGCAACAGGCACCACAACCCCCUGCCGCCAAUCAAGUUGCACUCUGUAAAUACAAUUGCAUGGUAAUGCAUGAAUACCACGUACUCUACGAAAAUGCUUGGCGCCCAGUUGCGAGCGGGUACCUCGAAUGGGUAAACGGCCAGCCAAGUUGCAAAUGUAUUCUGUCUUCGUAUUUUUUGAGUUUCUGUGAGCAACAAGACAUCGACCCAAAGUGCGGCGACAAGUGGGUCGGGUGGCCUUAUUUUUUUAAAAGAUGGGUGCGGUCAGUCACGAAAGAGUGUACGCAACUCGUUAAGACCAGAGAGGAAUUGGAUCAUCUGGUGACGAAGUCACUAUUGCCUGUACCUGGAACCAGACAAACUUUGGCUGAGAAUUAAUGAAGUUAAAGCACGCAAUAUUGAGAAGCCUUCAUAUUAUAAUUUUGCUAAAUUUUCUAUAAGAACGUUUUAUACGCAAUAUGUGCGAUUAAGAAUAACUCAAAAGCUGUGCGCCUUUGGUUUUUCUUUGAAUGUAAGAGUCAGUGAAUAAAAAAUGCUUACGACUUCAAAGUUUUGUGAAACCAACAUUAAACUUUUUUUAAUGGCGAACUCAACCUAACUCGACUGUGGAUUUUCACGCGUAGAAAAUUUAACUUGACUAAUUUAAAUGCAGCAGUAAACGCUAAUCUGUGCGAGUUGAUUUUAGGAACAUUUAUUAUAGGUACUCGAUGUAUUUUUCGUGAACUUUUCAUUUAGGGGAAAAAUCUUGUAAUCUUCUUUAUUCUUCAUUUUUUCAUUUUGAGUCUAGAAUAUAAUGACAAAAUUAGCUGGAAAGUUUAAACUCUAGUUGGUACACCAUUUCCUCUAUUUCACACGCUUUUUCUGCUUUCACUUAGAAAACUAUACUUUGAAAUCGUAGAUUUUAAUGCUAUGAUAUUUCAAGUCAGUGCGGAUUGUUCAUGAUCGGCAUGCAUUUGUUAUGAAGAAUCUUUAUUUUUCCAAUUUAUCUUACUAAAAUAAUCUCCAUUUUGGCCAAACAAGAACAGUACACAUGGAUUUGUGAAGCGGAUUAGAGUGAGUGAAAAAACAGAGUUAGUUAGUUAGUUAAUUUAUUUAAGGAAAUUCAACAGUUUAGGCUAUUAACGUCUUUACAAAGAAUUUGGAAAAUGGGCGUACAUACAAAAAUUUAGAUUUUUUAACUACCUCAACAGUGUCAACUUUUAUAUAUUUUAUGUUAAGUGCGCCAGUAUUUCCUCUAAAUUUUGCUUCUAUAGAUUUCUAUUUAUUUUUAAUUAUUUUUAAGAAUCAUUUAUUGAAAAGUUUUAUUAGCCUUUAAAAAUUAGAUGUCAUUUAAAUUUUAAGUUCUUCGUCAAAUAUGGAUUUACAGUAUAGGAGAGGUAUUUCGUGCAGUUAUUGAGAUAGUGAACGUGUAUCCAACCUUCAAUGUUUUAGUAUUUAUUUUCUUUAAAAUAUAUUACAUCAAUCGUUAAACUUAAUGAAUUUGUUCAUUUCGAGAAAUACGUAUUUGAAGUUUCGGAACUACAUGGAUCCUUAUCGCAGAAUGAAAGUUCAAACUGACUUUUUGAUGCUUGAAAAUUGGAAUUUGUGAGAAAAUUUUUCACAUAAUGUACAUUAAGACUAGAUUUACUUGAAAUCAUUAACAUCUCGAUUUUUUCAAAAACUGUACUUAUGCGCCUUGUCCUCCAAGCCCCUCAAUUCUCCUUGGAAAAGCGGGGAGAGAGAGAGCGAGGGCCUGAUAUACGGGGAGGACGAGGGUCGAAAAAGCGGCAAAAAUGCUGGACGUAAUUUAAGGACAGUACAUAAGUUGAUCUACAAAUUCCCGUAUAAUCUUCCUGAGGAUCAAAAAGUUGCGAUCGGAAUCAAUGAAUGUCGUUGAACUCCUAUAUCUCGCAAAUGUAACGCUCCCGCAGGGUAAAAAGUUCCAAAAAAAAAUCAUUCGCGCAACACGGGAUGCAAAUAAAAAAAAAAAAAAAAAAAACAAACAAACAAAAAAAAAACCCAUCAGACAGAAAGCGGAGCUGAGUGCUCCGAAUCACGCCACCGCUUAACGUGAAUUUUGUCUCGAAUCGUGGCACCGAACGCUGUUCAGCGGAAACACACUUAAAA